rnacentral:rRNA from 1 species
GCGGGAAGAGCUCAAAUUUGAAAUCUGGUGSCCUCAGGUCAUCCGAGUUGWAAUCUAUAGAAGUGUUUUCCGUGCUGGCUCAUGUACAAGUCCCUUGGAACAGGGCGUCAUAGAGGGUGASAAUCCCGUCCUUGACAUGAACUACCAGUGCUCUGUGAUACAUUUUCAACGAGUCGAGUUGUUUGGGAAUGCAGCUCAAAAUGGGUGGAAAAUUCCAUCUGAAGCUAAAUAUUGRCRAAAGACCGAUARCCAACAACUACCGGGAGGGAAAGAUGAAAAGCACUUUGGAAAGAKAGUUAAACAGUAUGUGAAAUUGUUAAAAGGGAAACGAUUGAAGUCAGUCGUGCUCUUUGGAUUCAGCCGGUUCUGCCGGYGUUCUUCCUUUGAGUGGGGUCAACAUCAGUUUUGACCGCUGGAUAAAGGCUGGAAGAACKUAGCACCCCCGGGUGAACUUAUARCCUCCUGUCACAUACAGUGUUUGAGACUGAGGAACCCCCCAAGCCUUUAUGGGCAGGAUUCCUCCAUGUACCUGCUUAGGAUGUUGACAUAAUGGAUUUAAACGACCCGUCUU